GACGAACGCUGGCGGCGUGCUUAACACAUGCAAGUCGAACGGAAAGGCCCUGCUUUUGUGGGGUGCUCGAGUGGCGAACGGGUGAGUAACACGUGAGUAACCUGCCCUUGACUUUGGGAUAACUUCAGGAAACUGGGGCUAAUACCGGAUAGGAGCUCCUGCUGCAUGGUGGGGGUUGGAAAGUUUCGGCGGUUGGGGAUGGACUCGCGGCUUAUCAGCUUGUUGGUGGGGUAGUGGCUUACCAAGGCUUUGACGGGUAGCCGGCCUGAGAGGGUGACCGGCGACAUUGGGACUGAGAUACGGCCCAGACUGCGACGGGAGGCAGCAGUGGGGAAUAUUGCACAAUGGGCGGAAGCCUGAUGCAGCAACGCCGCGUGCGGGAUGACGGCCUUCGGGUUGUAAACCGCUUUCGCCUGUGACGAAGCGUGAGUGACGGUAAUGGGUAAAGAAGCACCGGCUAACUACGUG
rnacentral:rRNA from 1 species